rnacentral:rRNA from 1 species
GAUGAACGCUGGCGGCGUGCCUAAUACAUGCAAGUAGAACGCUGAAGCAGGAGCUUGCUCUUCUGGAUGAGUGGCGAACGGGUGAGUAACGCGUAGGUAACCUGCCUGUUAGCGGGGGAUAACUAUUGGAAACGAUAGCUAAUACCGCAUGACAGCUGUUGUUGCAUGAUAACUGUUUGAAAGUGGCAACUGCUCCACUACCAGAUGGACCUGCGUUGUAUUAGGUAGUUGGUGAGGUAAAGGCUCACCAAGGCGACGAUACAGAGCCGACCGGAGAGGGGGGUCGGCCAGCCUGGGACGGAGACCCGGCCCAGACGCCCACGGGAGGGAGCAGGAGGGAAACUUCGGGAAUGGACGGAAGUCUGACCGAGCAACGCCGAGGGAGGGAAGAAGGUUGUCGGAUCGUAAAGCUCUGUUGUAAGGGAAGAAAGAGUGUUAGAGUGGAAAGUUCACACUGUGACGGUAACUGACCAGAAAGCGACGGCUAACUACGUG